CAAUAGCGUAUAUUAAAGUUGUUGCAGUUAAAAAGCUCGUAGUUGGAUUUCUGGUAGGAGUGACCGUUCCGAACUUGAUUGUUCGUGUAUUGUGUUUUCUCCAGCCAUCCUUGUGGAGAACUUUUCUUGCAUUAAUUUGUAGGGAUUGGGACCCGCAUCGUUUACUGUGAAAAAAUUAGAGUGUUUAAAGCAGGCAAUCGCUUGAAUACAUCAGCAUGGAAUAAUAAGAUAGGACUUUGGUACUAUUUUGUUGGUUUGCAUACCAAAUUAAUGAUCAACAGGAACAGUUUGAGGAUAUUCGUAUGAACAUGUCAGAGGUGAAAUUCUUGGAUUUUGAUCAGACGAACUACUGCGAAAGCAUUUAUCAAGGAUGUUUUCAUUAA
rnacentral:rRNA from 1 species